UACGGAGGGUGCAAGCGUUAAUCGGAAUUACUGGGCGUAAAGCGUGCGUAGGCGGUUCGUUAAGUCUGUUGUGAAAGCCCCGGGCUCAACCUGGGAAUGGCAAUGGAUACUGGCGAGCUAGAGUGUGUCAGAGGAUGGUGGAAUUCCCGGUGUAGCGGUGAAAUGCGUAGAGAUCGGGAGGAACAUCAGUGGCGAAGGCGGCCAUCUGGGACAACAACUGACGCUGAGGCACGAAAGCGUGGGGAGCAAACAGG
rnacentral:rRNA from 1 species